AUUGAACGCUGGCGGCAGGCCUAACACAUGCAAGUCGAGCGGAUGAAGGGAGCUUGCUCCUGGAUUCAGCGGCGGACGGGUGAGUAAUGCCUAGGAAUCUGCCUGGUAGUGGGGGAUAACGUCCGGAAACGGGCGCUAAUACCGCAUACGUCCUGAGGGAGAAAGUGGGGGAUCUUCGGACCUCACGCUAUAAGAUGAGCCUAGGUCGGUUUAGCUAGUUGGUGGGGUAAAGGCCUACCAAGGCGACGAUCCGUAACUGGUCUGAGAGGAUGAUCAGUCACACUGGAACUGAGACACGGUCCAGACUCCUACGGGAGGCAGCAGUGGGGAAUAUUGGACAAUGGGCGAAAGCCUGAUCCAGCCAUGCCGCGGGUGUGAAGAAGGUCUUCGGAUUGUAAAGCACUUUAAGUUGGGAGGAAGGGCAGUAAGUUAAUACCUUGCUGUUUUGACGUUACCAACAGAAUAAGCACCGGCUAACUUCGUG
rnacentral:rRNA from 1 species